rnacentral:rRNA from 1 species
UACGUAGGGUGCGAGCGUUAAUCGGAAUUACUGGGCGCAAAGUGUGCGCAGGCGGCUUCGCAAGUCGAGUGUGAAAUCCCCGAGCUUAACUUGGGAAUUGCGCUCGAAACUACGGAGCUGGAGUGUGGCAGAGGAAGGUGGAAUUCCACGUGUAGCGGUGAAAUGCGUAGAGAUGUGGAGGAACACCGAUGGCGAAGGCAGCCUUCUGGGCCAACACUGACGCUCAUGCACGAAAGCGUGGGGAGCAAACAGG